GGGUUAGUAGGUUGGUUAUGCCUCAGGUAUGUACUUAUCUCACUGAUUCCUCCCUCUUGACGAUCUGUAAUGUCAUUAAUUUGGUGUUGCAGGAAAUCAGGACUGGUUUUACUUUGAAAAAUUAGAGUGUUUAAAGCAGGCUUAGGCUUGAAUACAUUAGCAUGGAAUAAUGAAAUAGGACGUUUGAACCUAUUUUGUUGGUUUCUAGGAUCGACGUAAUGA
rnacentral:rRNA from 1 species